rnacentral:lncRNA from 1 species
AGGUUGGAGCUACACUGCUUGGUCCCACUUGGGAAGGAGCAGAGAGGAGAGCUGUGAACAUCAUGUGCAAUGGCUUUACUCUUUACCAUCUCUGAAGAGGGUAGACCUUUGCUUUUCUCUUGAAAGUUUUGAUGUCAUCUAUUGUUAUUAGACCAGGACUUUCAUUAGAGGUCCAUGUCAGUGUUAAAAUGACUAGUAUGCUGGUCAAAAGUUUGGUGGGAUGCAAAUGAACUAGUUCGCCUUAAAUCAGCUAUUGUCACUGAGCAAAUAACAGAGUCUUCUGUUUAAAAUACUCUGUUUCACUUGCCUAUUGCGGCAUGAAAAAUGACCCCAAAACUCACUGGCUUAAAACAACCACCAUUGUAUUUGUUCACAAUUAUUUUGUGGGACAGAAUUUUGGAUUCAGAAUAGCAGGGAUGGCCUGUCUCUGCUCUGUGAUGCCUGGGGGCAGUGGCAUUGUCUUGAAUGGCUGGAAACUGGCUGGAAUGGCUUGACUCAGUCAUAUGCCUGGAGCCUCAGUUACAGCUGUUGCCUGGAGCUUCAGUUAUGGCUGUUGCCUGGAUUCCUCAGCUUUCCUUGGUGUGGGCUCUCCAAGAGGCUAGCUUAGACUUCCUCACAGUAUGGUGUCUCAGGGUAAUUGAACUUCUCACAUGGUAGCUGGCUGCCUAUAGGGCAUUCCAAGAGAAUAACUCCCAAUGUGAAAGCAUUUAGUAAGCCUCUGCUUGUGUCAAGCUUGUUGAUGUUCCAUUGGCCAAAUCAAGUCUCAUGACCAAGCCCAGCGUCAAUGUGGGAGGCAGUAGAGAAAGGCCUGACUGCUGGAGGCAUGGAUGCAUUGGGGCCACCAAUAUGUACAGCAUACCCAGAAAAUAAAACCAUUAUUUAAAUGAGAAAUUUAAAUGCACAUUUAUAAAUUUUUAAAUUUACCAUUAUAAAUAAUGAUAUUAUUUACUAUCUGUUUUCUGUUGUGCAAGACCAAAUAGGUAUAUGUGAAACUAUGGUACAAAUUGCUUCAUGUCCAUGAAGGGUAUGCUUAGAAAUAUGUUAUUUUAUCCCAAAGAAAUGGCACGCUAUAUUAUUUCACACAAAGUAAACUAUUCAAAAUCUCUAAGCUAGGCCGAGUGUGGUGGCUCAUGCCUGUAAUCCCAGCACUUUGGGAAGCCAAGGUGGGUGGGUCACUUGAGCCCAGGAGUUCAAGACCAGCCUAGGCAACAUGGCGAAACCCUGUCUCUACAAAAAAUACAAAAAUUAGCCAGGCAUGAUGGUGUGUGUCUGUAGUCAUAGCUACUUGGGAGGGUGAGGUGGGAAGAUGGCUUGAGCCUGCAAGGUUGAGGCUGCAGUGAGCUGAGAUCAUGCCCCUGCCCUCCAGCCUGGGUGACAGAAUGAGGGAGGCCCUGUUUAAAAAAAAAAAAAAAAAAAAGGAAAAGGAGAAGAAGAAGUCUCUUCUUAGCACUAAAUAUCUAAAUGUAGUCUGUGUUAAGUAACCCACUUACAGCUAUCUGUAAAGAAAAAUCUAAUCUUUCGUACAUACCUCUGGCUUACUUUUUUCUUAUAAUUAUGGACAUUUUUUCAUAUUGGUUCCAGCUUAGAGAGUGCAUAAGUUAUUUUGGCUUUUCAGUAGUUCAUACAUUUAUAAUUGUUAUUUUUAAUUUGCUAUGAAUUAAAAAAUAUGGUAUGUUUUCUUCAAUUCUGAUGUUUUUAUAUGUUGAAGAUGCUGGAAUGGAUAGGAAUGAGACCUGAGUCCCAGGAGGGCUUGGAUAACUUUUCUAGUCUUUUGAUUCCUUAUCUCUCACAUAAGAAGUUUCAAUCAGUUGAUUUCUAUGUUUACUUUUAAUGCUGAUAUUUUUGAUUUCAAAUUACAUGUAAUGCCCUAAUUAACUAUUUAGAGAAAUAUAAAAUGUGCAUUUGGGAAAUACUAAAAUAAUCUGAUAUUUCUUUAAGGAAAAAAAUUGCUUCUUUAUUCCUUAAAUUAAUUUUUUAGUCACUUGGCUUAGAGAUGUUUUCUUGAUGGGUCUCUUAUUUGCAUACAUUACUAUUUUACUUUGCUUUGACAAAAAUCUAAGAGGUAAAAGAAAUGAGGAGUCUAAAAUAACACACAAAUUUCCAUAAGAGAAACUUACUACAGGAACCUAACACUUUGGAAAAAUAUUUGAUUAAGUACCUGGAAGAAUUUUGCUAGACUUAGGUGGAAGUAUGCUUGCAGAAUUUUGUAAAAUACUUUUCUGAUUUCCUUGUCUUUUUUUUCCAGACAGAUCUUGCUGUGUUGCUCAGCUGAAGUAUGGUGUUGUGAUCAAAACUCACUGCAGCCUGGAACUCCUGGGCUCAAGACAUCCUCCUGCCUUGGCUCCCGAGUAGCUGGGACCACAGGUGCAAGCCUCUGCACUGGUGAAUUUUUAAACUUUUUAUAUAGACGAAGUCUCAUUAUGUUGCCUAGGCUAGUCUCAAACUCCUGGCCUCAAGUGAACCUCCUGCCUCAGCCUCCCAAAGUGCUGGGACCGCAGGUGCGUGCCACUGUGCCUGGCCACUAAAAUACUUUUGUAAGUGAAGUAUUUGUCUCAAUUCUAAGUUUUAAUUCAGCUGUAUUUCCUGGAAGCAGUUCUCUACAAUUCUGUAAAAUGAAACUCUAAUCACUAGUGCUUGGGGAUUACGUCCUUUUUUUUUCAUUAGUUGUCAUUAAUUCCUGUUGGGAGUAUUGAAAAAUUAGUAAUAUGGGAAACAUACAAACAGAUCAAAAAAGCACUCAUCUGAAGGUACCAGUGUAAGUUCACAAACUUGGCUGUACAUUAUAAUUAUUUGGGACUCUUUAAAACAAAUUGAUGGCUGGGUCCCAACCUCCACAAGUACUUUUUUUUUUUUUUUUUUUUUUUUUUUAAUACAGAGUCUGGCUCUGUUGCUCAGGCUAGAGUGCAGUGGCACAAUCUUGCAGUCGCGGCUCACUGCAACCUCUGCCUCCUGGGUUUAAGUGAGUUUCAUGCCUCAGCCUCCUGAGUAGCUGGGAUUACAGAUGCCCACCACCACACCGGGUAAUUUUUGUAUUUUUGGUGGAGAUGGGGUUUCAUAUUGGCCAGGCUGGUCUCAUGCUCCUGAUCUCAAGUGAUCCGCCCACUUCAGCCUCCCAAAGUGUUGGGAUUACAGGCGUGAGCCAUCAUGCCCGGCCAAAAGUCUUGAUUUAAUUAUUCUAGAGUGUGGCCUGGCAUUAGAAUUUUCUCACCCCCUCCAGGUGAUCCUGAUGUGAGCCAAGUUUGAGAACCCCUGCACUAAAGAAACGUCCUCGGGUCUCCUUCUGUUCCCCACCUUUUGCUGCCAGAAUUCGAGUCCUUACUCCUUGCUAGACUUUAUGACCUCUUCCCUCCACAUACUGUUGCUACAUUCCUUUAAUAAUGAAUUUUUAUGUUUAGUUCCCGAUUUACACAUCAUCAGCAGGGUAGGUGUGUAAAAAUAAUAGUGAAGACAUGAGUCUAUAAAGGUGUGCAUUUGAUUGGAUUAACAGUAUUAGAUGGAUCUAUCUAUCCACUCCACCAUUUUAUGACACUGUGGGCAAAUAUGUUAACAUAAAUCCUAAAUUCCAAAGUGAUACAUUAUACUUCUCCGGAUUAGCCAUCGGUUUGUUUAGUUGGAUUUUGGGUUAUAGAAUGAUAAUUGCUAUUUAUUCAAAGUGUUUCUGGAAUGAAAACAAUAGAACUUAUUGCCACCUCCUUUAUGUGGGUUGGGUGUAUGUUGGUCAAAUUCAAAUACAAACAAAAUCUUCUUUGGUUGGUAAUUCACCUGAAUGCAUAGGCAUUAAUUGGUUUGUAAUGGGCAUUUUGAAACAUUUUUACGCUGAUUUAAGUGUGGGGGAAGAUUAUUCUGUGUUACCUAGAGCCCAAAAUCAUGCAAUUGUCUCUUUAUUCAGGCAAAUGGUUUCAUUUCUCUCUUCUUUCCUCUCCUUAGUGAAACAGAGGCAAUUUAUUGAUAGGGUGAUCAGCCACCCCAGUUUGCCUGGGACUAAUGAGUUUCUGGGCACACUGGGAUGAAUUGGUCACCUUAAUUGAUACAGCGAAAAUUAAUAAGACUUUAAAGAUAUUUUAGGUCCUUGCAUGAAAAAUUAUUCAUAUGUUAUGAUUUACAUUACCAAAUCAUAUAUAAACUAUGAUUGUAAAUGGAAGGUUUGUGAUUGUUUUCUGGAUUUGGUAUUACAACUUUCUUUUCAGCUUGUCAUAUUAUUUUUAGAUAUUCCUCAAAAUAUUUUUCUAGCAGUAUUAAAAAAUUCACCUUGAGAAAAAUAGCAUAUUUUAUGCACAUUUUCUAGAUUUCAGGAAACAGAUAAUGUCCAAAACAGCAGAAUUAGUUGGUGCUAAAAUAGAGAAAAAAAAUCAUUUUUAGAUCUGCUUGGAGACUAUAAUAACUAGUAACAUAAAGAAGUUCUCUUAGUAAAAUGAAAUAGAAAAAGAGAACCUAAUAAAGUCUAAUAUGAAUCCAUUCUUGACCCAAAUAACAACAAAAGUCACCAUAUACGGCCAGGUGUGGUGGCUGACGCCUGUAAUCCCAGCACUUUGGGAGGCCCAGGUGGGUGGAUCACCUGAAGUCAGGAGUGCGAGACCAGCCUGACCAACAUGGUGAAACCCGGUCUCUACUAAAAAAUACAAAAAUUAGAUGCGCACAGUGGUGGGCGCCUGUAAUCCCACCUACUUGGGAGGCUGAGGCAGUAGAAUUGCUUCAGCCCGAAAGGCGGAGGUUGCAGUGAACUGAGAUGGCACCAUUGCACUCCAGCUUGGGUGAUAGAGCAAGACUCCGUCUCAAAAAAAAAAGUCACCACAUACAAAUGCUGCACAAAGAAAACUUAGUGAAGAUGUUUGUGUACUGGUUAUUUUUGAGUCUCUUUGAAAUAGUAAAGAUAAAUUAUUAAUUUUACAUCAGAGAGUUAAUGUAUUUAGUUAAACCAAUAGUACACUUUUGCUAGGGUGUGGUUAUUCUGUUUUUAUUUUUUUUCUUUUUUCUUUUUCUUUUCUUUUUUUUUUUUUUUGGCAUUAAAGAUCAGAAACACCAAUUGUUGCCUUAAAGGGAAGAUGAAUCCAAUUUUAACAGAUGCUCAGUUCAGGAAAUAUCAAAAGCUACCCUUUACAAAGGAGUAUUAAACAUAGAGACAAAAAAAUAUGCAGGGCAUUGCCAAUGUAUCAGAUGACAAUGGGACUAAAUCACACCCAUUUUUGGUUUAACAGCUGUUAAAUGAGUCAAGAGACCUGGAUCUAGAUCCAGCUGCACCGAUCCAGUGAGUGUCUGGGUAAAUGCCUUCACUGCUCUGGGCCUCUGUUGAUUUGUCUGUAAAAUGGGAGAUUUUGACUAUCCUGUGUCUACAGUCUCUUAAAUUGUUAAUAUCCUAUAAUUCCAUGUGCAGUAUUCUGACGAUGUCUUAGUGGAUAUGUGGAUUUCCCCCUUCCUUUUCUCCAGCAGUGCUCCUCUGCAGCAACCUCAGAACAGUGGCCCACACUCCUAGAAUUUGAGAAAAUGGCAUCUUCUUCAGAGGACAGAGGUUCGUAGUCUCAGUGGUUUAUUCACCUGCUACAGCUCAGCAUGUGAUGUGGUUUUGCUGUGUCCCCACCCAAUUGUCAUCUUGAAUUGCAGCUCCCAUAAUUCCUAUGUGUUGUGGGAGGGACCUGGUGGGAGGUAAUUGAAUCAUGAGGGUCUUUCCCGUGUGCUGGUCUCCUGAUAGUGAAUAAGUCUCACAAGAUCUGAUGUUUUUUUUUUUUUUUUUUUUUUUUUGAGACAGAGUCUCACUCUUGUCACCCAGGCUGGAGUGCAGUGGUGCGAUCUUGGCUCACUGCAACCUAAGCCUCCUGGGUUCAAGCAAUUCUCCUGUCUCAGCCUCCCAGGUAGCUGGCAUUACAAGCACCCACCACCAUGCCCAGCUAAUUUUUCGAUUUUAGUAGAGACGGGGUUUCACCAUAUUGGCCAGGCUGGUCUCGAACUCCUGACCUCAGGUGAUCCACCCACCUCGGCCUCCCAAAGUGCUGGGAUUACAGGCGUGAGCCACUGUGCCUGGCCGAGAUCUGAUGGUUUUAUAAAGAGGAGUUCCCCUGCACAAGCACUCUUGCCUGCUGCCAUGUAAGACGUGUCUUGCUUCCCCUUUGCCCUCCAUCAUGAUUGUGAGGCCUCCCCAGCCAUGUCCACAUGUGAGUCAAUUAAACCUCAUUCCUUUAUAAAUUACCCAGUCUCGGGUAUGUCUUUAUACCCGAGCAUGAGAACAGACUAAUAUGGCAUGAUACUCUGGAUCCUAGUAUUUGCAAUUUGAAUUUUGGAUGAGUUACUUCCCCUUUUAGAGCCAUAGUAUCUGUCUGUAAUGAGAAUUUUUUUCCCUUAAUCUCCUUUUCUAGCUUAGAGUAGCCUAAAAGAGAGUUACUCUUUUAGGCCUUUCAGCUUUUUUCCUUUUUAAAAGUGAGAUAGCAUACUUUUUGGUCAUCUCACACUCCCAGUGAGGCUUUCUGGGCCUCCCUUUCUCUGUUUCCUCCCUUCCCUUCCUACUGGCAGAAGUGUGGAUUGUGGAGAGCCUCAUGACCCAUGACUCAUGCCUAGGUUGCCUGGCUACAGGGUGACAAUUCUGCCCAGUGUCUGGCUGCCGUGAACAUGUCUGAUGUCUGGAGAUUUCUCUGGAUCUUCCAUGGACGAUGUUCUGAGAACCCCUUGUUAGGAUGAAACCCUGAGGUGCUGUCUUGCCUUAUGAUAUUAAAAAAAGACACGAUGCAGCUAGUGCGGAGUUUUAUUGGCUACAAAAUAGAUGCAAAAUGAUGAGAAUCUGAAGGCUGCAGUAGGAA